AACUCUAUAGCUCAGUGGCAGAGCACUUACCUAGCAUGUGUGAGGCCUGGGGUUUGAUCCCUAGGGCUG
rnacentral:tRNA from 1 species